rnacentral:lncRNA from 13 species
UAGGUUGCAGCAUGAAUCCAAGGGUCCACUGGGAAAAGAUGCUGUCAGGAUUUUCCACUCAGCAAAAGGGCAUGAAAGACAUGGAAGGAGAAGACAGUGCCAUGCGCUUGACUUUGGUUUUCGGCGUUUCUUUGAGAAAGCAGGGAAAGUUGCAAAAUACGGUGGAAAAAAUCUUCCGCAUGAAAAGGGGGAAAGAAAACAGAACCAUUUACGAUCUCAGUCAGCAGAUUUACUCUACUCAAACAAGAAAAGAAACAACCUUAUUGGAAGCAGAUGUUGACACUGUGUCAGUUAUUGAAGAUGGAAGGAGUUCACUUGAGCCAUUGCAGUUACAAAGGGGCAUUGAUGGCAGUUCGAAUUCCUGAUUGAUCACCCUUGCAACCAAGAGAAAGAGAGCAGAAACUGUACGGGAUCAGAAAUGAACUCAGCCUUCCAGUUUAAUGGAGAGGAUGCUAGAAACUCAGUUGUUUUUUUUUUCUUUAUUUGCUGUAGGAUAAAAGACAUCUUUUAGAAAAGGUAAGACUUGGUUGAGAGAAAAAUCACAAUUUAUUAUCUAAAAAUAUGUAAAGGCAAAAGAGCUUUUUAAAUCUAUUAUAAAAGCAUUAAAACUAUUAUUGAAAUCAUUUUAGAAAAGUUAGCCUAAAUUUUAGUUCAAAAACAAUGUUGAAAACAAACAUAUAACCUGUGAAAAAAUGAAUGGCUCUGGCAAGUAGGGGUAUGAGUGGAGCCUAUAAGGAAACCUCAGUCUCAAUAACUUCAAAUGUUAUUUUCCUCGGAAACUUGGUCAUGGAGGCUGGUCACAGUACAGACAUUUAGAAUUUUUAGUAUUUUUUUUUUCCUUUUAGUCUUGUAGUGCUUUCUGGGAAUUGCACCGUGUACACUUUUCCAACCAAUAGAAAUCGUCAUUAUUGUUAAAAUAUCUUAAUUUUCCUAUUUCUUUUACUGUCUGUUGCGCUCUUUUGGUUAAGAGUAUUUUCAUAGUUUCAAAGUAUUGGUCCAAGUAGUCUUCUCUUGAAGUUGUAAUCAAUUUAAUUUGAUCCGAUGAGUUUAUCUGAAUCUCCUUUUUACGAUCCAAGAAAUUCUAAUAUAAAUAAGUGUACUUUUACCAAUUCCAUUGUAUAAGAAAACAGAUACCUUUUAGAAAAUAAUAGGUCAUCAUCAAUUCAUUGUUUUAAAAAAAAGCAAUUUAUGCACUACUAAAUCUGAGAUAAGAAUAAUUCUUUUAACAUGAAAGAUUCUUUAAUUAGUUUUGGUAUAUACAUAAGAUGUGAACUUUCUAUUGAUAUCUCUUUAUAUUAAUAGAGAUGUACAUUUCUUCCUAUGCUGUGGCUAGAGCAAAAGUUAUUAAUGAUUAUUUACACACGUGAUUUAAUUUCUUAACAAAUGUACAAAAUUUGAUAUUAUGUCUGAUUUAAAAAUACUAUUCCGUACAUUUUUUUUGAGAGAGAAAACAUAGGGGAUGGUUUUCCUGUGAAUUCUUCGUAUCACUUUAAACUGCAUAUAUUUAAAGGGAAUAUAUGAAUUCAGUUUGUUUUUAUUAUAUAAAUCUAGAUAAGGUGAAAUGCUUUCGUGAAAAAAAUACAGUGUAGUGAAUUUUAUAUUUGUCACUUGAUUAGGUAAACUAAAAACUAAAAAUAGAAAUAUUAUUUUACUGCAUUGAAAUACAAUGAAAUUUAAGACUUGUUAAUUCUAUAAGCAGUUAUGCUACCUUAAUUUUGUGAUUCCAUAAAUAAAAAAUUAAUCUUAGUUAUGCUGUCA